GACGAACGCUGGCGGCGUGCUUAUCACAUGCAAGUCGAACGGGCCUGUCUUCUUUUUUGGGGGUGGGUUGAGUGGCGAACGGGUGAGUAUCACGUGAGUAACCUGCCCUUCGGUCCUGGAUAACCGCUUGAAAGGGCGGCUAAUACGGGGUGGUCCGGUUGGUCCGCAUGGGCUGGUCGGGAUAGAUUCACUGUUUUUGGUGUUUCGGCGGGGGAUGGGCUCGCGGCCUAUCAGCUUGUUGGUGGGGUGAUGGCCUACCAAGGCGGUGACGGGUAGCCGGCCUGAGAGGGUGGGCGGCCACACUGGGACUGAGAUACGGCCCAGACUCCUGCGGGAGGCAGCAGUGGGGGGUAUUGCACAAUGGGCGGAAGCCUGAUGCAGCGACGUCGCGUGAGGGAUGGAGGCCUUCGGGUUGUGAACCUCUGUUUCCGGUGGUGAAGGCCCUGUCCGUGUGGUGGGGUUGACGGUAGCCGGGGAUGAAGCGCCGGCUAACUACGUG
rnacentral:rRNA from 1 species